UGAUGUUACUCUGGAAGAGUUGGGGCAGAAUGCCAUUUGGGGCCAGCUGGUGAAACAUACAGCGCAGGAACUGCUUGGCUACACCUGCUACAUUCCCCGGGAUCAACAUACUGCAAAACAUCACACGGAGAAAGUCUGAGUUGGACAGGCAGUCGCGCCUCACAUGCUAUUCAACUCAUCUAUAAGCACAGUGAACAUCUGAGCGCACUGGUGCGACGGCUUUAAUGUCUCCUACCUCUCAGCUUGUCCAGAGAAAUUGCCACUGGAUGCCAACCUGAAAGAAGUCAAAGCAGUGGAUGAGGACUCUGGGAUGAAUUAUGCAUGAGUUCUACGGGGUCAUCGUGGGGAAAAGAGAGUGAGUCUAAAGCAACUGACCAGUGUCCCAGGUGCUGAUGUUGUGCGGCGCACUGGAUUGGUGCUCCAACUGUCGCUUCAUCAGCUGGCUCAUGGUCAGAGCUCCCAGAGAGCCUCGCUUCACCUGACGGUACUGAGCUGGAGAUCAGACACAGAGGACCACAUCUGGGUUGAAGUCACCUGCAGGGCCGGCCUCUUGAUGGUGUCCAGCAGCAGCCUGGCUCGGGUGGCCACAGCUGGGUUGACGUCCUCCACAGAAGCCAGGAAGCAGCAGAAAGCAUGGGCCAGCGAAUACUUCAGCAGGUGGUUUUUCGUCACUGCGCCAAUGUCCAGGAACCGACAGAGCACCGCCACCUUCUCAACUGGGAGUUUCCAUGGCACAGAAAGCAGGGAGAGUGAACAUUGUCAGUAACGAAGACAGCUCACAUGAGAAAAUGAGGAAGCAGAGCUGCCAGAUGUCCUGCCAUAAUUACCGUGAUAUCUUAAACAGACACAGCAGCAUGAGAUCCCAGAUGAAGACAAGUUGAUAUAUAACUAAGAAAUGAUUUCUUUGCAUGAUGCAUGGGUGUAUCAAUACACCUUUUCCUUGCUAAAGAAAUAAGAAAUGAUAUAAGUAUUAUAUGACUAAUAUACAAUCUGUUUAAAGCUGUUUAAUCCUCAUACAUUGUUGCGAUUAAAGGGUGGUGUUUAUAUACAGUUACAGUUAUGAAAAUUGUCCAAAUGUCCGCGUGUGAUGAAUGAAAUAAGAAUGCGACUUUAAAAUUCCUUCCUUUAAUUGUUGGAUGUUUUCAUCAUGACUGAGAUUAAAAUCGAGAAACAGUC